rnacentral:lncRNA from 1 species
UAAUAUAGGAGAGAUGAAUGAAGGCUCUAGACAUAUAUACCUUGUCUAUUUCAUCUUAUAGUUUAUCCAUUUUUUGUAUGGUAACAUCCUGCAUUUGUGAGGCAACUUGCAAGUUGUUUUGUUGGAGCAUAUUAUUGUCCUGUAGCAUCUUCUUCUGGAACUCAACCUUUUCCAAGCCAAUAGCCAAACCUCGCAUUGAGGUAGUAUAACUGCCUUCAAAAGUUCUAGCCUCGUUGUUAUGCCAAACUUCGACACUCUCCUUCUGUCGAGAUUUAUAAGUUGUUGCUUCCAUGGGCUGCAUUUGGUCUCGCUGAAGAUCCUCGCUUGUUAUGUCAGGCUGCAUUCAACCAAGUUAGUACCCUCUGCCCCAAUUAGAAAACUUUUUCCUACGUCCUGCACCUCAUUUUCCUCCAUCCAAUUCAAAGUUAUGAUUUUUCACCCUAGUAUUCCCAUUGAUAUUAGUAUUCACCCCUUGACGUCGUUGAUGAUCUGAAGCGAUUAAAGGAUUCUCUGCUUGUAACCAUGUCCUAAACUGGUCAUUUUGGAGGUUUUCUGAUCUUAUAUCCUUUUCUCUUUGUGCACAAGUUCUAUCAUUGUGUCCUAGCAGACCACAAUAGUAGCAAACAUAAGGUAGAUUUUCAUAUCUUAGUUCAACCCAGGUUGUUUCCAAGCCUAAUUUGAUCUAUUUUCCCAUAGGUAGUGGUCUAUUAACGUUCAUCGUGACUUUUAUCCGCAUAUAUCUCCCCUCUUUGCGUUUUCAUAUCUUAUUUCAACCCAGGUUGUUUCCAAGCCUAAUUUGAUCCAUUUUUCCCUAGGUAGUGGUCUAUUAAUGUUCAUCGUGACUUUUAUCCGCAUAUGUCGCCCCUCUUUGCUUCCAUUGGCUAAAAUAUCAACAAUACCACCCAAAGCCUGCCCUAUUUUGCGCCCAACCUCCUUUGACAGCCAAUGUAAAGGAAUAUUCCAAACUUGAACCCACAUAUUAUAAUUAUUAAAC